GGAACCAUGGCUCAGUGAUAGGGCAUCUGCUUAGCAUGCAGAAGAUUCCUGGUUCAAUCCCCACCAUCUCCU
rnacentral:tRNA from 1 species